UUGGAUAGUAAGAUAGUACUCAGGGCUCCUGUAAAGUGGACAUCCCAGGUAGCUAGGAGACAUUUAUCUCGUGUGAUUCUCUUUGAGAAUGGUGGAUGGUUAAGUAGAUUGAAAUAAUCUGGCAACAACUCCCUGUUUUCUUCAGAAAUGAUUAAAGGUAAGUGGACAAGCAUAGAUGUGAAUUCAGUGCAUCUGAUAUUCUGAAACCGUGUUUUAAUGACUUUUAUAUGCCACCAUAACCAUAUGUUAUGGAGGAGCUAUGCAGAAGAAAUGUUGAAAUAAAGAUAACUGGUCAUCUGUAAGUAGGUAAAUAGCAUCACUCUUCCAGAAGAGACAUUUGAACAAUCUUUAAUGAUAGCCAUUAAUUUUCCAUGGCAGGAAAUGACUCAGUUUAAUGAUGUAGAAUGUCUAAAACUUGAGUAUUUCUCUCUUUCAUUAUCCAUUCUAAUAUCUUGUGGAUGGAAAUGGGUUGUCUUUAUUGGACAUGCCAUAGAAAAUAAACUCGUUACAUGGCCGGACAACAUCAGUUCAUAAUAACACAGUUUGUUUCAGAGAAAGUAAUGAAGAAGUCUGCUCUUUGGUUCUUUCUAAUUUUUUGGAAGUAUAUAUAUGUACCCAAACUUGAAUGGUUUCUUGGCAAUUAAGCAUUGCAAGUAUGGGUCAAGUAAAUUGUGUGUUCAAGGUCUGUGCGGUGAAGAGAAAUAUCCAGAGCCUCAGCAAUCUAAAGUUUCGGUAGCCUGUGUUCUCAGUCUACGUGACGAUGCUUUUAUGUUCACCAACACACAUGCAUGCAGGUUAUAGGGUUUGUCAGCAGGUCAUUGUAAACGAGGGAGUUAGUGUGUUUAAAGCGUGUGCAAUCUUGUGUUCUAUGAGGAGAUAGAGGGAGAGCGGUGGUUUCCCCCGCCUCCUCUCGAGGAUCACUCUACAUAAAAGUAAAAUGCUUGGUAUGCUUUUUUGCUGUUCUUAAUUAACAGUGCAAAUUAUUUUUGGUAUUUGCCUGCUCGAUAAAAUUCUACACAUUUCUUCUGUUGGAAAAGAGGAGUGGAAGUCAGCUUUCUCGUGAGUGUGAUUAGUUAAGAAGCAUAUCAUGAUUCUAACUUUGCAUGAUUGAAUUUUCAGCCAUUUAAAAUUGUGAUACAAAGCCUGGUGGAAGAACUCUCUGUGGUGCUCAUGCAGCAAUCCUGUGCUGCUCAAAGAUCAACCCUUUUUGACCAUUUCAUAGAUGAAAAGCCUGUGCACAACAAAACCACACAACGUCAAGUGCAGACAAUACCCCCUUGCAGCAAUGCCUAGAUAUGGAAUCGGUAGUUUUUCAAAAUCAAAGACACUGAAAAGAAUACACAAACUUGUGAUAAUUGGGGGUUCCACAAAGUUUUCCAUAUCUUUCACAUGUUUUUGGUAAUUAACUUUUGUUAUACUAUAUUUGUACUAGUCCUUUCAUAUCAUAAACCAUACUUUUGAUGUUAUUUUAAUUUUUUAUAUAUAAUAUGGAC
rnacentral:lncRNA from 1 species